rnacentral:rRNA from 1 species
AUUGAACGCUGGCGGCAGGCCUAACACAUGCAAGUCGAGCGGAUGAGGGUAGCUUGCUAUCUGAUUCAGCGGCGGACGGGUGAGUAAUGCCUAGGAAUCUGCCUGGUAGUGGGGGACAACGUUUCGAAAGGAACGCUAAUACCGCAUACGUCCUACGGGAGAAAGUGGGGGAUCUUCGGACCUCACGCUAUCAGAUGAGCCUAGGUACGAUUAGCUAGUUGGUGAGGUAAAGGCUCACCAAGGCGACGAUCGUUAACUGGUCUGAGAGGAUGAUCAGUCACACUGGAACUGAGACACGGUCCAGACUCCUACGGGAGGCAGCAGUGGGGAAUAUUGGACAAUGGGCGAAAGCCUGAUCCAGCCAUGCCGCGUGUGUGAAGAAGGUCUUCGGAUUGUAAAGCACUUUAAGUUGGGAGGAAGGGUAGUAAGUUAAUACCUUGCUGUUUUGACGUUACCGACAGAAUAAGCACCGGCUAACUUCGUGCCAGCCGCCGCAGUAACAC